AUCGUUCAUCUCUUUAAGACUGUGAUACCACAUUGUGUCUUGAUCAGGUAACUUAUCUGGUUAGCAGAAAAAACCAAAAUGUUUGUAGUGAGUGCUUAAGCGCUCAAUGAAGAACUAAAGUGCUUACUAUGAGCUAAUGCAAGCCAAUGACCGUAAUGACGCUUUUGAUUACUUACAGCGAAUGGGGAAAAUCAGCUUAAGAGACGGAAGUAAGGAGACAUCCUGAAGGAACGCGCC
rnacentral:ncRNA from 1 species